UGCAGCUGCAAUGCGUUUUACAUAAAGACUUCAAUAUUUCUCGAGAAACUGAGUUUUCCCAUAGCGUAAGCUACUUACGCAAUACUCGUUCCCUCCUCUCAGGGAACCGAGGUUACGUUAGUAACCGAGUCGUUUCAGAACCCCAGCGCCAGAACCUGAAGUGAGGGGUGGAGUUUUUGACAAUGAGACAAGCAUGGCGGAGAGCAUGAGACAUUUCGAAUGAAUGAAGACCACAAGGAAAAGGCCCGCAACAAUCUCCUGGAACAGUCAGAAGCUUCCAGAGAGCCCUUUCUAUUUCAUUUUGUGUUCAGGGAUGACAUGGAGUUAUUUUAGCAAGAAUGUGCCCCAUGUCUGAGUUUUGAUGUGGUGCAUGAUGGUGAAGGAGAAGGCUGGGAGCAGUUUCCUCUCUCUAUGGUGCUUUGUGCUGGGACUCAGGCAGACAUUGCAAUUAGCAACAGGUAGACUGACAGGACUGCAGCCAGAGCUUGACUUAUUGUCAUGCGGAUGCACAAUCUGCAUGGAACUGACAAGGAAAAAGAUAAGGAUGGAAGCAGUGAUGGAGAAAGUGAUGAAGAGGAUGAGGACAAGAAACCACAGUUGGAGCUUGCCAUGAUGCCACAUUAUGAUGUGAAUCAACAGCCCGAGUCAGAGUAAGUGCAGUUUUUUUAAUAUAUAUUUAUUUACCUUAUUCAAAUGUUUUUAGCUUUACUGUAUGCAAAUCAGAAAUCAUAUUCAGUAUAAUAUUUUGAAUUUCUAACAUUGUUUUGUGUUGUGCUGCUUUAUUGAAUUGUCAUAAGACAAAACCCCAUUUUGAUGUUUAUACGGUAUCGGGUGACCCAGUGAGGGGCGCAGACAUUGUCUGCUGUCUGGUCAGAGAAAGGGCAAGUGGAGAUUUUUGACCUCCGAACUCAACAGAGGAAGUGCACAGUUCCUCAUCAAUGUCGGCCUUCAUCAAGCUGCAGAAGGAAGCCACACCUCUUUUAAUUUUUCUGGACACAUUACAGAAGGUUUUGCCAUUGAUUGUUCACCCAAGGUACCAGGUUAGCCCGUAACCCUAUAUUUGACUUUACUAGGCUUUAAAAGUUUUGUGAAGAGACAGACAGGACUUGGACUUGGUCAAAGAGAAAAAAGUUAUGGACUAAUCAGGCUAAGGUCUAAGAUCCUGUUCACAACUGGUAUUAAGAUGAGUUUCAGGUGAUCGAUCACAUGUGGUCAGCAUUAAAUACAGGUCUAAAAGGGGUCUAAAAUGUUUUGUGAUUGGGUCACUAAAACCCACAUACAAAUGUGAUCAAAAGCAGGUGUGACAGCAUCAUAUUUGAGGUGUAAAAGCAAAUCCGUCCUGAAUGUGUACAGCAUUCAGAACCGGACAGCAGCGAAGCACCACCCCUCACCUGUAAAUCGGUCGCUGCACUAAAACAAAAAUGUUAAACUUUGCUGGUUACGAGCAGCUAUAAACGAAAAUCACCGCCCCAUCGUGGGGUAUAAUUCUGCAAGAAAUGUUGCGUUUGUGCUUUGAUUAAAUUUCAGCUGCAUCUGGAAGAAACAUCAUGCUUUUUUUUCACGCUUUCUUUGUCUUUUCUGACUUUGUUGUGCUUUAUUAUCAUGCAGGAAGACAUUGACAUAGUGACUGAUGUAUGUCGUCGUGAAAUCAGAGACCCUCCCCUCCAAAUCCGAACACAAGUGUUCACAAGAGGCACAUUUGAGUGACCAGGUGUAAACGGGUCUAAGAUUUAGGAUGUUUGGUAAUUGCGACUGCAAGAAUAACAUUCACGUCUGGGAGCCACAUGAGGGUGGGACGUCCUGGGAGAUUGACCAAUGGCCUUUCAGUCUGUUGAGGAUCUACAGUGGUCACCUACUGAAGCCACAGUUUUUGCAUCAUGCUCGGUGGAUCAGUCUGUUCGGAUUUGGGACAUAAGGGCACCAGCUAAUUCUAUGCUUUCAGACAAUGAGGUUCAUUCUUCAGACAUCAAUGUUGUCAGUUGGAACCGGACUGAACCUUUCAUUUUGUCUGGGGUUGAUGAUGGUCUCCUGAAAGUUUGGGACUUAAGACAGUUCCAGAUGAGGAUGAGCAUGAGGAAAGGCAUAUUAAUAUUAAUAUUAUUGUUAUUUUCCAACUAAAGCAUACUCAAAGUAAAACAAAAUUAUUAUUGCAUUCAAUCUUUGGUAAAUAACCUCUCUUAAGCCAAGCAGUAGUACAUGUAUGUAUUGCUAAAGGAAGUCAAAUUCCCCAUUAACCAAUGGGAACUUUUGUGUUACUUUGUGUAAUACUUGUGUUAUAAAGUUUUCAGCAAAAUGAUAAUUGUGGUCACAUUUAUUUUAAUAUCUCUUGGAUAAAUACGGUGUACUCUUUCAAAUUUAACUCAGGAAAGCUCAAAUAUGAUUUAUUAAAUACAUUUUACACAAAUUAUUCAAAUAGGGUAUCUAAUAUGAUUUAAAAAUGAAUUUCAGUCAUGUGCAGCUUAUACCUAAGCCCUUCAAAUAGUUUCAUUUUCCUCAAAUGAAAUUUGAGCCUUUUCUACAAGACGCAGCAUGACACCGUGUUGUCUCUCUGGAACCUUUCUGUGUGUCUGUCACACCUAUUAUUGCCUCCUAAUCUUUCUUCUUAUGCUACAUCUCUGUCUGCUCUGUCUUACUUUUUCCUCAGUCUAGUUGUCCAGUGGCCAGUUUUAAACAGCACAGUGCACCUGUGACCUCAGUGGAGUGGAGCCCUGUUGACUCCUGUGUGUUUGCUGCAUCCGGAUCAGAUGAUGUCAUCAGCCAGUGGGACCUAUCAGUGGAAUCAUGUGACAUGGGCGGACAGGCAGAGGGCUUGAAACAAUUGCUACCACAGCUACUGUUCCUUCACCAGGGGCAGAAGGAAGUAAAGGAGGUCCACUGGUAUCCACAUAUUCUUGGAGUUCUUAUUUCCAUGGCUUUGUCGGGAUUCAAUGUAUUUGGAACUAUUGCUGUAUAACUCUUUGUGUGUGUGUGAGACGGGGAGAGAUUGGAUGUUUGUUUGUUUCUGGCAGGAUGAGCGUGCAUGCAUAUGAUUUUAAAAGAACAUAGAUGGAUGUGUGAAUGUCUAGGACUCGUGUAAAUACUAAUUUCCAAACGUAUACCCGUUAUAGAAAAGUGAAACUUUAUGGCAUACUUAAUACAUGUGUGUUGUUUGUGUAGUAGUUUUUAUGUAGGGUUUAAAAAGAGACACUUAAAAAGAACCACUAAGGAAUUAUAAUAAAUUUUAGACUGUUUCAAAUGUCAGGCAAAUUUGAAACAGUUUUUUGUUUCCAUCUAAAGCUUCUCAUGGCAGACUGCAAGUCUGUUUGCAAAUCAUAAGUCUCAAUGAAAGACUUUGAAUAGAAAGAGGGAAAGUUUGUAACAGCAUAAGGAUGCCUUCAAAUGUAUGUGUGAAGUAGGGAUCUUUGAGGAAGUAGGUCUUUUUAAGUUGUUUUGCAGCUGAUGCAGUUGGUAAAAUAAAUAUGGUUUUGGGUUCUAAGUGGCAGUUGCUCUAACACAUCUACAUCUGUCCAGAUUUAAUUGGUUCAACAAUUCAAUGCUGUUUCUUUAGAUGUUUGAUUGAAGUUACAAACAAUCCAUAACAGUAAUUAAUAAUUUUAAAGGGACUUAAUGAUAACAAAGGGGAUUUACUCUGAUUCUGAAUGGUCCAAUCAAACAGUCCUGUAAACAUCUUCACAAAAUGUACCUGUGCUGACAUGCAAUCAAAACAAAACUGGAGGGAUUUAAAGAGGAUGGUAGUAAAAUAUUCAUGUAUUUACCUGAAGAUCUUAACAUCAAGAUAAUAUCAAUAACAAUAGCAUGCUUACAAAAGUGCAAAAAUACCACAAGUAAAAAAAAAAAAAAAUACAUAUUUUGGUCUUAUCUACAAAAUUUUUAAUAUGUACAGUGAGGAUUUUGAGUCAAUUUAAAUGAAUUUUUGAUUGUCUGUGAUUAUCCUUUUCUAUUUAAGUCAAAUAAAUGUGAAAGUAAGAAAGGGUGAGAUCAACUGUGUUUGCAAAUAAACCCAACCGUGUAACGCUUUUCAUGCUUCCCUUUUUUAAUCUGGUCAAGAGCGAGAUCUCGGGUAAGUAUUGAUGCUGACUACCAUCCCUGGGAGCGGUUGCACCAGCUAUACGUAAAGUAUAACUUAGCCUAGUUGUGGCGUAAAUGGGCACUAAGUCACAAUUUACGCUACUACUAAAGGAGCGUUGCACCAUCAAACUUAGGCAGAACGUAAAACUACUUAUAAACUAAAUAUUUACGGAAACCUCCAACCAGGAGAAACGGAUGGAAUUAAAAAGCAGAUUCAUUUAAUGGCAUCAAUGAGCUCGUGUUUUGCAUGACAGGUUUCAGUACUUUCGACAUAUAUGAUGAUGUUGGCACUCGUUAACAUUUACAGGAGAAAUCAUGUAAAAAACGUUCUUCUUCAGCAUGAAACUGAUCUUAAAGUGCACUUUCCUGUGUACGGUGUCAAGUUUCAACAUACAAAAUAUAUAAGAUAUUAAAAGAAUAAAUGUUUAUUUUUUCAGCCUGUUAUAUUCGUAUUUAUUUAUUGCCCCUUUUUUAAAAAAAUUAUGUUAUUUACAUCGGCUAAAGAUGCCAUUAAUGAAAUCUUGUUUUAUUACGUAUCGUAUUUUCAUGGGGAUUUAAUUUAUUACAGCUGACAGUUACAAGGUUUCAACAUCAACCGUAACAAGAUCAACCUGAAAUUCACGGCUGUUCAACACUUCGUACAAAUUUCAAGGCGGUAACACGCUCAACAAACCAUAAAAUAAAAUGCGUGAAUUGAUGUCUUAGACGCGGAGGGGAGAUUAGUCCUCCACCACCCGGAUUGAGGUGAGUCACUACGCCACCAUGAGGACUAAAGAGAGCAUGGAGAUUGGGCACUCAAAAUUGGGGAGAAAAUCGUAAAAAAAGAAGAGAGAGCGAGCGAGACCCCGUAAAUAACCAGAAUAUGCCAGAUGGUUGUCAUUCACAGUUUAAAAAAACUACACAUUUUGUACUUGUUUAGCUUUAGGACCAUUUUUGUAGCGUAUAACUGGUGUGAUUCAUUUAUAUUAUUUUUUUUUUUAAUUGAUUGUGCUCAUUUUAGGGUAUGUGUGUGUAAAGUAGUGAUGAAAAACUCCCAAGAUGAAAUUCCAGCAUUUGUGAAUGCAUUUUCACACAACAAACAAAAAGCUUCAUCACUGGCUUUUCAGUGAAACUAAGCAAAAAACAAAAAUAUAUGUGCUGUAAUGGAAAAAAUCGUUUUGUGUAAGGCACUGCAUAUAUAACCAUAAUUUAUAUAUAUGUAUGACUCUGUACUUGUUUUUUAGAAAUAUGUUUCUUAGCAUAACCUACAUUCCAUGUUAUAUUAACUCCAGCAUUCCCUCUCCAUAUGAGAUUUAAUCAGUUUCCAGUUAAUCGAAAAAGGUAAAGUGCCCUAUAAUAG